UGAAAAUCUCUAGUCUAAGGAGUCAUUAACAUUAUAGUUUCACAAUUAGACGGGGCUUUCCAUGUUUUUACAGGACUGUCCAACUGAAGCAUUAUAUCAUACAUACGUGUCGGUUUGAACUACAUCACGUCUUUAAGGACAUGAUUAGAUCGAGCAAUAUUUUGCGAAAUUUAACCCUUAAUUAUCGGUUGGAUUAUUUUUUGUUUACUUUUCAUGUUAAGUGUUGUUUUAACCAUUCUAAAAAUAUGAUAUAUAUGAUAUAAUUCUAUAACUAUAUGAUUUUUUUAAUAUAAAUAAAAUUUUACAGCAUGAAAAACACAAUGGUUUACUAAGGCUUGACAUGGUUUUGAGAUUUGAGGUUAUUGUCAUGUGAGUACUUACACCAUUUUGAACCUCGAUUAUAAUGUAUAUAAACUAAUUAAAGUGGUAUUUUGGUAAAUCUAUUCAUUUUUUAUUUAUAUUUUGUUAGUAAUACAGUAUAAUUAAUAAUUUUUUAUUAGAAUGAAGAAUUCAUUAAACCAGACUGAGCAAACGGUCUGGCCUAUUGAUUUUUUGACUGGACUGGGCUUUUUGGGUUCGAGUGACAUGAAAAGCUGAAGACAAAUACUUACAUAAUGUCCAGCCCCAAGAAUCCAAUAGAAUGCAAAGUUCUGAUAUGACUUGUAGAAACCUUUGGU
rnacentral:lncRNA from 1 species